rnacentral:lncRNA from 1 species
GCACUGACUAUAACUUUUGAGAGGACUUUUUCCUCAGCCAAAAAAAAAAAAAAAAAUACUGCUUUUGUAUUUGUCAAAUGUUUUACAUGAUGAGGACAAUGUAGUGGUGAUUAUUGCUUGGAGAGGUUAUUGUUUGUUUUGGGGGGUUUUUGUUUGUUGAAACAAUGUCUCAUUAUGUAGUUCAGGCUGACCUUGAACUUCUGGCAAUCCUUCUCCCUCAGCCUCUCAAGUGCUGGUAUUACAGGCGUGCACUACCACACCCAACUGUAGAGGAACACCUAUAGAAGCUAAAUCAUCAUCUCAGAGGUACUUGAAAUUAAACUCAACAUGAUGAGAAUACACUAAGAGAGGCUGAAGGACACAUUUUUGAAAGGGCUAGUGGAACUGGGAAUCAAAGACUUCUUAUGGCUAUGAGUUAUAGGCAUAGUCAAAGACUGCUAAUAGGCUACUGCAGCAUUGAGGGAAGAGACUACAGAUGGCUAACUACCAAAGCCUUCAGAAGCAAAGAAAAUGUAUUCAGAGACAAAGGGGAAAAGUUUUGAGCAUCAGUCACCUGCACAUCAACCCUACCAAAGUAAGCAGAGCUGCAGAGGUUAUGAAAGAGGCUUCUGAUGCAUGACUUCCCCAAAGCGGAAAGCCCU